CAGGCCUAACACAUGCAAGUCGAGCGCGCCUUCGGGUGAGCGGCGGACGGGUUAGUAACGCGUGGGAACGUGCCCUUCUCUACGGAAUAGCCUCUGGAAACGGAGAGUAAUACCGUAUACGCCCUUUGGGGGAAAGAUUUAUCGGAGAAGGAUCGGCCCGCGUUAGAUUAGGUAGUUGGUGGGGUAACGGCCUACCAAGCCUACGAUCUAUAGCUGGUUUUAGAGGAUGAUCAGCAACACUGGGACUGAGACACGGCCCAGACUCCUACGGGAGGCAGCAGUGGGGAAUCUUAGACAAUGGGGGCAACCCUGAUCUAGCCAUGCCGCGUGAGUGAUGAAGGCCUUAGGGUCGUAAAGCUCUUUCGCCUGUGAUGAUAAUGACAGUAGCAGGUAAAGAAACCCCGGCUAACUCCGUGCCAGCAGCCGCGGUAAUACGGAGGGGGUUAGCGUUGUUCGGAAUUACUGGGCGUAAAGCGCGCGUAGGCGGAUUAGAAAGUUGGGGGUGAAAUCCCGGGGCUCAACCUCGGAACUGCCUCCAAAACUGCUAGUCUAGAGUUCGAGAGAGGUGAGUGGAAUUCCGAGUGUAGAGGUGAAAUUCGUAGAUAUUCGGAGGAACACCAGUGGCGAAGGCGGCUCACUGGCUCGAUAC
rnacentral:rRNA from 1 species